UCCAGACUCCUACGGGAGGCAGCAGUGGGGCCUCUUGGGCAAUGGGCGCCCGCCUGACCCAGCCCCGCCGCGUGCCGGCAGAAGGCUUUCGGGUUGUAAACUUCUUUUAAGAGGGAAGCGCAGAAGACGGUACCUCUUGAAUAAGCCACGGCUAACUACGUGCCAGCAGCCGCGGUAAUACGUAGGUGGCAAGCGUUGUCCGGAUUUACUGGGUGUAAAGGGCGUGUAGGCGGGGAAGCAAGUCAGAUGUGAAAACCACGGGCGCAACCUGUUGCCUGCAUUUGAAACUGUUUUUCUUGAGUACUGGAGAGGCAGACGGAAUUCCUAGUGUAGC
rnacentral:rRNA from 1 species